AAACAGUCUUUUUUGAAAGUCACACACAUAUAAUUUAAAAUUAUU
rfam:Pelecanus crispus contig9817, whole genome shotgun sequence.